rnacentral:lncRNA from 1 species
AGGGGAUCCUAUUUAAAAACAAGAAUACAAGUUUAUUCAACAAAAAUUUAACACGCCUAACACUGAAUUUAAGAAGAUGAAUAAACCUGUCUCUGUCCCCAAGCGGCUCAAAAUGUAAGAGGGGAAGCAGACGUGUAGAUAAGUUAGUGAUAAAUUUAGCACAAGUGACAGUGCUAAAUUAGAAGUGAGUACAAGGCAUGUUCAUGGCACAAAGAAGAGGCCAGUUUUACCCAGAAGGUCCAGGAUCCAGACACUACUGACCUGACAUCUGAGCUGAGCUUUGAAGAAUGGGGAUAUUUCCGGAGUGCUUGGUAUGUGCCAGGCAGUGUGCUAAGUAAUUUAUCUGUGUUACCUAAUUAAAUUCUCAUUACAAUUUAGGAGACGGGAAACCCCAUUUUACAGACAAGUCCAGGUGGUUUAACCUAGAACACACUUUGCUAAAUAUUGUGCUCGACUGACACACACAAACACACAAGAAGAGAUCGCUGGAUGGACUCGCGGAGGUUGAAGGUGGACAACUAUUAAGACGGACGAGGAUUCUAACGUCGAGAACUUUGCUCUAGGUAGUGUGCAACUAUAAUCUCUUGUUCUGGUUUAGGCUUAACAUAUAAAUGGAAAGAACAGUUAGGGAAUUUUCUUGGUAUCACUGCAUUUAUUUCCCACUUUAAAGUGAAGAUCCAAUUAUAAAUCCUACUGACUCUAGAACUAUAACAAUAUGACAAUUGACAGAGGGUAAAAAAUAUCUGCAAACUUAUCAGUAAGAUAAGGACAAAAGUGAACUUUUAUUUGGCAGCACAGCAUACACUGGUUCUGAAAAGGUAUGAAAAUCGGAAUCACACGCUUGUAAAAAAUUAGAGAUGUUCCACUCUAGAUUGAUACUACCUCUGAAGCGAGGGAUCUCCAUCACUUUAACUGCUCUGUGAUUACAAGCAACUUGAAACUUUUCUGAGUCCCAGUUUCCUCAACUGUAGAGUUGCUGCUAGGGUUAGAUGAGAACAUAUAUGAAAGUACCUAGAUAAGUAUCUGUGCCAUAACAGGUGUUUCAUAUACACUGCGGUAUUUAUGAAUACUUGGAGAGUAAUAAAGAUGUGUUUAAAUGAGUGACAAAUUCAGAGGAACAAAUUCAGGGUGUCCACCACCCAAAGACUAAGGAUUGUUA